UCCAUUGGUCAGGCUUAACUGUCCGCACUGGUGAGAUGAGUUCUUACCUUCUGAGGAACCUUCAUGCCAUUCAUUUGGUGUGAUGGGAAAUCAGGACCGUUACUUUGAAAAAAUUAGAGUGUUUAAAGCAGGCUUACGUCUGAAUACAUUAGCAUGGAAUAAUGAAAUAGGACGGAUGAUCCUAUUUCGUUGGUUUCUAGGAUCACCGUAAUGAUUAAUAGGGACAGUUGGGGGCAUUAGUAUUCAAUUGUCAGAGGUGAAAUUCUUGGAUUUAUUGAAGACUAACUAUUGCGAAAGCAUUUGCCAAGGAUGUUUUCAUUAAUCAAGAACGAAAGUUAGGGGAUCGAAGACGAUCAGAUACCGUCGUAGUCUUAACCAUAAACUAUGCCGACUAGGGAUCGGACGGUGUUAUAUCUUGACCCGUUCGGCGCCUUACGGGAAAC
rnacentral:rRNA from 2 species